rnacentral:rRNA from 1 species
GAUGAACGCUAGCGAUAGGCUUAACACAUGCAAGUCGAGGGGCAGCACAAGGUAGCUUGCUCUCUGGGUGGCGACCGGCGCACGGGUGCGUAACGCGUAUGCAACUUGCCCUAUACAGGAGGAUAACCCGUCGAAAGACGGACUAAUACUGCGUAUGCUCACAACUUGGCAUCAAGUGGUGAGGAAAGAAAUUCGGUAUAGGAUAGGCAUGCGUCCCAUUAGCUUGUUGGUGAGGUAACGGCUCACCAAGGCAACGAUGGGUAGGGGAACUGAGAGGUUUAUCCCCCACACUGGUACUGAGACACGGACCAGACUCCUACGGGAGGAAGCAGUGAGGAAUAAUGGUCAAGGGGCGCGAGCCUGAACCAGCCAAGUCGCGUGAAGGAUGACUGUCUUAUGGAUUGUAAACUUCUUUUAUACGGGAAUAACAAGAGUCACGUGUGACUCCCUGCAGGUACCGUAUGAAUAAGCAUCGGCUAACUCCGUG